rnacentral:rRNA from 1 species
AACGCGAAGAACCUUACCUGGGUUUGACAUGCACAGGACGCGUCUAGAGAUAGGCGUUCCCUUGUGGCCUGUGUGCAGGUGGUGCAUGGCUGUCGUCAGCUCGUGUCGUGAGAUGUUGGGUUAAGUCCCGCAACGAGCGCAACCCUUGUCUCAUGUUGCCAGCGGGUAAUGCCGGGGACUCGUGAGAGACUGCCGGGGUCAACUCGGAGGAAGGUGGGGAUGACGUCAAGUCAUCAUGCCCCUUAUGUCCAGGGCUUCACACAUGCUACAAUGGCCGGUACAAAGGGCUGCGAUACCGCAAGGUUAAGCGAAUCCUUUUAAAGCCGGUCUCAGUUCGGAUCGGGGUCUGCAACUCGACCCCGUGAAGUCGGAGUCGCUAGUAAUCGCAGAUCAGCAACGCUGCGGUGAAUACGUUCCCGGGCCUUGUA